GAUGAACGCUGGCGGCGUGCUUAACACAUGCAAGUCGAACGGGAAACAUUUUAUUGAAGCUUCGGCAGAUUUAACUUGUUUCUAGUGGCGGACGGGUGAGUAACGCGUGGGUAACCUGCCUCACACUGGGGGAUAACAGUCAGAAAUGACUGCUAAUACCGCAUAAGCGCACGGAACCGCAUGGUUUUGUGUGAAAAACUCCGGUGGUGUGAGAUGGACCCGCGUUGGAUUAGCUAGUUGGUGAGGUAACGGCUCACCAAGGCGACGAUCAGUAGCCGGUCUGAGAGGAUGAACGGCCACAUUGGGACUGAGAUACGGCCCAG
rnacentral:rRNA from 1 species